GUAAAGAAGAGAGAGAAAGAAAGAAGAAAGGAAAAGGAAGAAGAAGAAGAAAUAAGAAAGGAAAUUGACCGUAGAGUUUCACCGGAGCUGGGUCUUGGUAUUUUGAGCUCGGAUUAAUGAUUAGCUCCCUGGGAUCUUCGAUUUGAGGAUUUGGAAGAAGUGUUGGUGAAGAUCUAGAAUAUUUGAAGUUCUUGAGCUUAAGAAGUGAAAUUUGGGGUUUCAUUGGUGUUCUUGAGAAAGAGGUAAGAAUCUCCUUUUUUCUUUUGAUUUAAUCUUAGAUCUAGGUUGAGGAUACAUGAUUGGACCUUUGAUGAUUGAUUUGACUCACCAGAUCGACCCCAAACAAGUUCCCCAAGCCGAAGAGAAGAUGGAAAAAGAUGAUGGAAGAAUUUUGUUUCAAGACUGGGGGGUGUUCCAGACCCACUUGUUUUUGGGUCUCUAGCCCACCUGAGUUCCCAGAACUCAAUUUUUGAGCCUCUAGUGUAAUCGGUGGGUAUAAGACUGGUGGGCUCCAAGGCUCACCUGUCUUUAACUCAUGCCCUCCUGUCUUUCCAAUAUGCCCAGAAUGAGUCCAAAUUUGAUGGGUAACCCCCAUUUAUGAUUCUAAACCAGAUUUUAGUGUUCAAACAUGAUGAUUUUGACCCCAAAAUAGUGAAAUGAUAGUUCAUUAUAUUUAUGAUAGGUUACACUCAUUAUACAUGUACCCACACAUCGGAUCUCUUACGUGUUGGGUACAAGCACUGUGUACGUAUACAAGUAAGUGAUGAUUUUACAGGUUACCCGCCUGGAGAUCAAGAGUUGGGCCCCACUGUAGAGUUUUCCUCUGAGGACUAGUGGGUCCUUGAUGAGUUCGAGCAUUGUGCCGAUUGCACGUGCGAGGAUUGUGCUGCAUAGCUGCAGUGACUUCUGAGUGAUUCUUUUUUAUGGACUCCCUUUUGAUUACUUUAUUCUUAAAUUGUUAUAUUUUUGUGUAUAUAUCAUGCCUUCAGGCCCAAAUGUAUAUAACUUUUAUGACUUAAUUUGGUUAUCAAGUAUUCGGGAAACAAUUAUAGGUAUUAUUAUGAAUAGGUCUUCUGCUGAA